CUGACCUCGAAUCAGGUGGGACUACCCGCUGAACUUAAGCAUAUCAAUAAGCGGAGGAAAAGAAACUAACAAGGAUUCCCCUAGUAACGGCGAGUGAAGCGGGAUGAGCUCAAAUUU
rnacentral:rRNA from 1 species